UCUUUUUUCUUGCAUUUCGAUUGAAUUUUUGUGGUCUAAUAAUUUGCCAAGAUAUAUUUUUGAUGUUUGUAUUAGAAGUAAAGUUUAUUUAAGCUUAAGAAACGAAGGAUUAAUUGGUAGCCAGAUUGAAUAUUGUCCAAUCGACAUUGUCCUACUUGAUUGAGUUCACCAUGAAGAACCAUCGAAAAUAAUAUGCUGAAAAGGAGGGAAAGUCAACAAGAAAUUUGACAACUAUGAGCAAAGUUUUGUGCAAAAGGUGUGUAAAGAUGAUGAAAAAUUAGAGAUACAUGGGAGGAAUGAUUUGAUUUGGGAACUAAUGACUUCAAUGAUGUCUGUCACUGUAAGAAGUUUAGAUGAAAUCAAAGUCCCGCCUCUGUUGGUGGUCAAGAUUUUGCUUAAGCAUUCUCUGGGGAAGAGACAGUUGGAUUUUGCUCAUGUCAAGAAGUCAAGUGAAGUGUACGAGUGACUUAUGGAUAUAAGUGAAUGGUAUUAUGAUAGUAUUUCAAUUUCAAAACUAUGAAUAAGCUAUAGUGUAAUAGAUUGUGCCACUUGCAGUAUAUAUUUUUGCACCGUUUCCAUCUAUACAUUUUCUUAUUAGAUGUAUGUUGUAGUCAUUGCCCCCAUUUUAGUAACAAUUACAUGCAGAAAUUUAUUGUUGGGCUUAGCACGGGCCAUGCCCUUUUAGUAAUG